rnacentral:rRNA from 1 species
UACGUAGGGUCCGAGCGUUGUCCGGAGUUACUGGGCGUAAAGCGCGCGCAGGCGGUCAUGCGCGCCCGGCGUGAAAGCCCCCGGCUCAACCGGGGAGGGUCGUCGGGGACGGCAUGACUUGAGGGCGGUAGGGGCCGGUGGAAUCCCUGGUGUAGUGGUGAAAUGCGUAGAGAUCAGGGGGAACACCCGUGGCGAAGGCGGCCGGCUGGGCCGUCCCUGACGCUGAGGCGCGAAGGCGUGGGGAGCGAAC